CCCUUAGAUGUUCUGGGCCGCACGCGCGCUACACUGACGAAUGCAACGAGCUUAUAACCUUGGCCGAAAGGUCUGGGUAAUCUCCAAAUUUCGUCGUGAUGGGGAUAGAUUAUUGCAAUUAUUAAUCUUCAACGAGGAAUGCCUAGUAAGCGCAAGUCAUCAGCUUGCGUUGAUUACGUCCCUGCCCUUUGUACACACCGCCCGUCGCUCCUACCGAUUGAAUGGUCCGGUGAAGCUUUCGGACCGUGGCCUUUGGACGGUUCGCCGUCUGUUGGCUGCGGGAAGUUCGUUAAACCUUAUCAUUUAGAGGAAGGAGAAGUCGUAACA
rnacentral:rRNA from 1 species